GAUGAACGCUAGCUACAGGCUUAACACAUGCAAGUCGAGGGGCAGCGAGAGGGAAGCUUGCUUUCCUUGUCGGCGACCGGCGCACGGGUGAGUAACGCGUAUCCAACCUUCCCUAUAGUAGAGAAUAGCCCGGCGAAAGUCGGAUUAAUGCUCUAUGUUAUUCAAAGCGGGCAUCUAAUUUGAAUCAAAGGUUCACCGCUAUAGGAUGGGGAUGCGUCUGAUUAGCUUGAUGGCGGGGUAACGGCCCACCAUGGCGACGAUCAGUAGGGGUUCUGAGAGGAAGGUCCCCCACAUUGGAACUGAGACACGGUCCAAACUCC
rnacentral:rRNA from 1 species